GCGCUGAUCUAUUGUGAUUUGGCACUCAUUUUUUCAUUAAGAUGUUAAAACUCGGUGCAACAUUCAAUGCCGCAAAGGUCCUGGCCAAUGAGAUUUCAGCCCUGUCGAUUUUUUUUAAAUAAGUACGUGUCCAUUGUUAAUCUUUUUUGCGUGCAAUGGCGCAGUUUGGCAAUGUGCAUGAGCCUCACGGGCUGGCUUCACAACAGAAGAUCCACAAAUUAGCCAAGCUGGCUUGUGCCGUGAGAAGGCUCUGGAAGAAGUGGGGCUAACAACGCUGAAACUGUUGACACUACGACCUCCCGUACGCCUCCCAUUUCCAUUAUGGUGAGAACUCAACCACAGCAGCACCCAGAAUCAUAUCAGCCAUGGUUUCAAAUUUAUUCCCAU
rnacentral:lncRNA from 1 species